rnacentral:rRNA from 1 species
GACAGAGGGUGCAAGCGUUGUUCGGAAUUAUUGGGCGUAAAGCGCGCGUAGGCGGCCAAGUAAGUCACAUGUGAAAGCCCAGGGCUCAACCCUGGAAGUGCAUGUGAUACUGCUCGGCUCGAGUCUUGGAGAGGGUGGUGGAAUUCCUGGUGUAGAGGUGAAAUUCGUAGAUAUCAGGAGGAACACCGGUGGCGAAGGCGACCGCCUGGACAAGUACUGACGCUGAGGUGCGAAAGCGUGGGGAGCAAACAGG